AACGUUCAAGUCCUCAAAAACCUGGGAGUAGACCCUAUGUCCAUGGAGGGACCAAAAUAGCUCAGUGGGAACUUUUAGAGUUCUCUUUUUCUACUUCUUAUAGUCUGAGCUUACAGAGAAUUGGAGCCUUCUUGGAAGUUACCAUGGAGGGACCAAAAUAGCUGAACUUUUGAACAUACCAUUCUGGAAUUCUACUAAAGUUAGGCUCCUUUCUGUAGUCAUGGUAAUAUCUUAUUGCAUGUUGAUAUAACCACGGAGGAAUGUUCUUUGCUUUUUUUUUGCAUUUGUUUGAAAAGGUAAAUGUCCUUUUUAUCAUGCUAGGUUCUUGAAAUUUAAUUACCUUUGGUCUUUAGAAAGUGAUUCCCACUCUUCUCCACUUCCAUUGUCGGAGUUUAUAUAUUUUAUUAUGAACUUGCAUGUUACUGCUAUCAAAAAUGAACAAAAGCACUUUGAUGGGAACUGCUUUUUGAGUUUAUGCUUUGUGUGUAGGCAAACUGAAU
rnacentral:lncRNA from 1 species